rnacentral:rRNA from 1 species
ACAAUGAAGAGUUUGAUCCUGGCUCAGGAUGAACGCUAGCGGCAGGCUUAACACAUGCAAGUCGAGGGGUAACAGAAGAAGCUUGCUUCUUGCUGACGACCGGCGCACGGGUGAGUUACGCGUAUAGAACCUACCUUGUACUGGGGGAUAGCCCGGAGAAAUCCGGAUUAAUACCCCGUGGUCUCUAAUUAUCGCAUGAUAUUUUAGAGUAAAGUUUCGACGGUAUAAGAUGGCUAUGCGUCCCAUUAGUUAGUAGGUAAGGUAACGGCUUACCUAGGCUAUGAUGGGUAGGGGCCCUGAGAGGGGGAUCCCCCACACUGGUACUGAGAC